rnacentral:rRNA from 1 species
AUGGUUCUUCUCCUCCUUAUCAUCUUCUUCAUUCCGGUCGUCAUCAGCACAACUAGGUAUCCCUUCUCCAGCUUCGUUAAUUUCUGGUGUGCGUCACCUCAUCAGCUAGCCAAUAUUGCUCGAUGUCGCGCCACCGCACCGCUCCUGGACGGUGUCGCCACACGCCCGGCGCGCAUCGCACCGUCGCCGGCACCCGCAGCGCCCCCUUGGUGCCCCGCCUCGGCUUCCCCCGACCACGAUGCCUCGCUUGGAUGGUGCAUCUGCAUGCCCGCGGCACCUCCUUCGUGUCCACAAUGGCUUCGCCUGGCCGGCCACUCCGACCGUCCGCAUCGACUUUGCCCGCCCGCGGCUGCGUUCCGCACCCACUCUGCCUCAUCGUAG